rnacentral:tRNA from 1 species
CCGCUGGUGUGGGUUAAAGGGCUUCAAACCCUUUGCAGCCGAGAGGCUGAGUCGUUCGAUU